GCGCGAUCUGCGGAUAGGCGGCCGCCGCAUUAAUGAUCCGGCCGACGUCGGCGGCGCUGGCGCGAUUGGCGUUCGACAGGCCGGUCGCGUCC
rnacentral:tRNA from 1 species